CCUCUACCCAGGCCGAGGCCGGAAGCGGAAGUGAGUGCGGAGCUCAGGACGCCAUUAGGAGAAGAGCUGAGGACAGACAGGUCUGAGGAGCAGAGCAGGAGUUCUGGGAAGGAGAAGAGCAAUAUGAAGAUGGAGUCUAAGAUGACAUCAGGUGACUUCUGUGGAGGGAGACAUGCUGGACAGCGCCAAGGACUGGGGAGACAACCAGGCUAAACCUACAGUGUCUGUCACUCUUGUACCUGGGCCCUUCUGGGACAAUUCUCGUCUC